GUCACCCUACAAUCAUGCUUCCAUUUAGUGAAUCUUGGAGCCAGCACAGUUGUUAUGUAGGAAAUCAAUUACAAGUAUUCAUUGCAGCACAUUAUGGUAUGCCAAUUGCAAUUACAAAAAAAUCUGCACCGGCCUCUGAACUGCUUGUAUCAGUUUCAAUGCUACCUGCAACAAAUUCUGUACAACUAGCACAAGCUCUCACGUCACCAUUGUCAAAUUCAGCAGGCACAUGACCUACAACUCCAUUAGUCUAGACAUCUUGUCAGUAUUUCUCUAAUUAUAAUGAUGCACAGGAAGAACCUAGGAAGGCUGAGAGUGCAGUUAAAGGUCUACAAAAGGUAGCUCAAAUAUAUUAAGAGCAGUUGAUCAUUAUGUUGCACCAUCUAGACAUGAUCAGAAUCACUUACAUGAAAGCUCAUGGGAUACUCAGCACUGAAAUUUAAACCUAAAAAUGGAUAAUGUUAAAUGAUAUGAGAAAUGAGGG